rnacentral:rRNA from 1 species
UACGUAGGGGGCAAGCGUUGUCCGGAAUCAUUGGGCGUAAAGAGCGUGUAGGCGGUUCGGUAAGUCGGCUGUGAAAGUCCAGGGCUCAACCCUGGGAUGCCGGUCGAUACUGCCGGACUAGAGUUCGGAAGAGGCGAGUGGAAUUCCCGGUGUAGUGGUGAAAUGCGUAGAGAUCGGGAGGAACACCUGUGGCGAAGGCGGCCAGCUGGGCCGACCCUGACGCUGAGGCGCGAAGGCGUGGGGAGCGAACGGG